rnacentral:rRNA from 1 species
UACAGAGGGUGCGAGCGUUGUUCGGAAUUAUUGGGCGUAAAGCGCAUGUAGGCGGUCUGUUAAGUCGCGUGUGAAAGCUCCAGGCUCAACCUGGAAAGUGCGCGCGAAACUGGCGGACUUGAGUGCCGGAGAGGGUGGCGGAAUUCCCGGUGUAGAGGUGAAAUUCGUAGAUAUCGGGAGGAACACCAGAGGCGAAGGCGGCCACCUGGACGGACACUGACGCUGAGACGCGAAAGCGGUGGGGAGCAAACGGG